AGAGUUUGAUCCUGGCUCAGGAUGAACGCCGGCGGUGUGCCUAAUACAUGCAAGUCGUACGCACUGGCCCAACUGAUUGAUGGUGCUUGCACCUGAUUGACGAUGGAUCACCAGUGAGUGGCGGACGGGUGAGUAACACGUAGGUAACCUGCCCCGGAGCGGGGGAUAACAUUUGGAAACAGAUGCUAAUACCGCAUAACAACAAAAGCCACAUGGCUUUUGUUUGAAAGAUGGCCUUGGCUAUCACUCUGGGAUGGACCUGCGGUGCAUUAGCUAGCUGGUAAGGUAACGGCUUACCAAGGCGAUGAUGCAUAGCCGAGUUGAGAGACUGAUCGGCCACAAUGGAACUGAGACACGGUCCAUACUCCUACGGGAGGCAGCAGUAGGGAAUCUUCCACAAUGGGCGCAAGCCUGAUGGAGCAACACCGCGUGAGUGAAGAAGGGUUUCGGCUCGUAAAGCUCUGUUGUUGGAGAAGAACGUGCGUGAGAGUAACUGUUCACGCAGUGACGGUAUCCAACCAGAAAGUCACGGCUAACUACGUGCCAGCAGCCGCGGUAAUACGUAGGUGGCAAGCGUUAUCCGGAUUUAUUGGGCGUAAAGCGAGCGCAGGCGGUUGCUUAGGUCUGAUGUGAAAGCCUUCGGCUUAACCGAAGAAGUGCAUCGGAAACCGGGCGACUUGAGUGCAGAAGAGGACAGUGGAACUCCAUGUGUAGCGGUGGAAUGCGUAGAUAUAUGGAAGAACACCAGUGGCGAAGGCGGCUGUCUGGUCUGCAACUGACGCUGAGGCUCGAAAGCAUGGGUAGCGAACAGGAUUAGAUACCCUGGUAGUCCAUACCGUAAACGAUGAGUGCUAGGUGUUGGAGGGUUUCCGCCCUUCAGUGCCGGAGCUAACGCAUUAAGCACUCCGCCUGGGGAGUACGACCGCAAGGUUGAAACUCAAAGGAAUUGACGGGGGCCCGCACAAGCGGUGGAGCAUGUGGUUUAAUUCGAAGCUACGCGAAGAACCUUACCAGGUCUUGACAUCUUGCGCUAACCUUAGAGAUAAGGCGUUCCCUUCGGGGACGCAAUGACAGGUGGUGCAUGGUCGUCGUCAGCUCGUGUCGUGAGAUGUUGGGUUAAGUCCCGCAACGAGCGCAACCCUUGUUACUAGUUGCCAGCAUUAAGUUGGGCACUCUAGUGAGACUGCCGGUGACAAACCGGAGGAAGGUGGGGACGACGUCAGAUCAUCAUGCCCCUUAUGACCUGGGCUACACACGUGCUACAAUGGACGGUACAACGAGUCGCAAGCUCGCGAGAGUAAGCUAAUCUCUUAAAGCCGUUCUCAGUUCGGACUGUAGGCUGCAACUCGCCUACACGAAGUCGGAAUCGCUAGUAAUCGCGGAUCAGCAUGCCGCGGUGAAUACGUUCCCGGGCCUUGCACUCACCGCCCGUCA
rnacentral:rRNA from 1 species